rnacentral:lncRNA from 11 species
CUCGCACUCACUUACUCUUCCAUCUUUUGCCACUGUGCCAGAUAAAUUUAAAUGUAUCUGUUCAAGUGAAGAUAAUCCAUGCAAAUCAGAGCCACUGGCUCCCAAGUGCUCGAUUCACAAAGAGAGCGGUGCUUCAGGAGGUCACUCGUUCACAGCUGCUCCUCCCAUUAUAUUUUUCCCCCUUACAGCAGAAUUGCUGCUUGUAUACAGUGACUGAAAGGACUCAAUUUACUGCAACUGCUGCCUGGUUUUCCUUACAACUUUCUUUUAAAGAGGGACAUACCUUCCAGCUAUCUUGCCAAGAAAGAUCAUUUGACCUGGACCUAUCCUCUGUGACAGCAGAAAACUGGCCUUCCCCCUCCUCUCUGUGACAACGCUUGAGGUAUUUAAAGAGAGCAAUAGUGUCACUCUUCAGUCUUCUUUUCAAAAGCUGAAAUGCCC